rnacentral:rRNA from 1 species
GACGAACGCUGGCGGCGUGCUUAACACAUGCAAGUCGAGCGGUAAGGCCCUUUCGGGGGUACACGAGCGGCGAACGGGUGAGUAACACGUGGGUGACCUGCCCUCAGCUCUGGGAUAAGCCUGGGAAACUGGGUCUAAUACCGGAUACGACUUCGCAUCGCAUGGUGUGGGGUGGAAAGUUUUUCGGCUGGGGAUGGGCCCGCGGCCUAUCAGCUUGUUGGUGGGGUGAUGGCCUACCAAGGCGACGACGGGUAGCCGGCCUGAGAGGGCGACCGGCCACACUGGGACUGAGACACGGCCCAGACUCCUACGGGAGGCAGCAGUGGGGAAUAUUGCGCAAUGGGCGGAAGCCUGACGCAGCGACGCCGCGUGGGGAUGACGGCCU